rnacentral:tRNA from 1 species
GGGGGUGUAGCUCAGCUGGGAGAGCACCUGCUUUGCAAGCAGGGGGUCAUCGGUUCGAUCCCGUUCAUCUCCA